rnacentral:misc_RNA from 1 species
GAUGAAGAACGCAGCGAAAUGCGAUAAGUAACGCGAAUUGCAGAAUUUCCGUGAGUCAUCGAAUCUUUGAACGCACAUUGCGCCCCCUGGCAUUCCGGGGGGCAUGCCUGUUCGAGCGUCUCCGAAAAGAAGACUCACGCGUGGAGAACGCGUUGGUGGUGGCGGAGGCGGCGGCCCCGACAGGGGGGCCGCCCCGCCGGAAUCGAUGGGCGGACGCCUGUCGCGAUGCCGAGCGUGAUAUGACCAUCUGCGCUCGAGCGCGGCGAGGCUCCCAGCCCCGGGCCCAUGAGUUUGGGCGGGGAGAGCAAGACGUUGGAACUCCUCGAAUCAGGUAGGGAUACCCGCUGAACUUAAGCAUAUCAAUAAGCGGAGGA